CGAACGCUGGCGGCGCGCCUAACACAUGCAAGUCGAACGAGCGAGAGAGAGCUUGCUUUCUCGAGCGAGUGGCGAACGGGUGAGUAACGCGUGAGGAACCUGCCUCAAAGAGGGGGACAACAGUUGGAAACGACUGCUAAUACCGCAUAAGCCCACGGCUCGGCAUCGAGCAGAGGGAAAAGGAGCAAUCCGCUUUGAGAUGGCCUCGCGUCCGAUUAGCUAGUUGGUGAGGUAAUGGCCCACCAAGGCGACGAUCGGUAGCCGGACUGAGAGGUUGAACGGCCACAUUGGGACUGAGACACGGCCCAGACUCCUACGGGAGGCAGCAGUGGGGAAUAUUGCACAAUGGGGGAAACCCUGAUGCAGCGACGCCGCGUGGAGGAAGAAGGUCUUCGGAUUGUAAACUCCUGUUGUUGGGGAAGAUAAUGACGGUACCCAACAAGGAAGUGACGGCUAACUACGUGCCAGCAGCCGCGGUAAAACGUAGGUCACAAGCGUUGUCCGGAAUUACUGGGUGUAAAGGGAGCGCAGGCGGGA
rnacentral:rRNA from 1 species